rnacentral:tRNA from 1 species
GGAGCUGUGGCUCAGUGGUGCAGCACUUGCCUAGCAUGUAUGAGGCACUGGGUUCAAUUCUCAGCACCA